GAUGAACGCUGGCGGCGUGCCUAAUACAUGCAAGUCGAGCGAACGGACGAGGAGCUUGCUUCUCUGAUGUUAGCGGCGGACGGGUGAGUAACACGUGGAUAACCUACCUAUAAGACUGGGAUAACUUCGGGAAACCGGAGCUAAUACCGGAUAAUAUUUUGAACCGCAUGGUUCAAAAGUGAAAGACGGUCUUGCUGUCACUUAUAGAUGGAUCCGCGCUGCAUUAGCUAGUUGGUAAGGUAACGGCUUACCAAGGCAACGAUGCAUAGCCGACCUGAGAGGGUGAUCGGCCACACUGGAACUGAGACACGGUCCAGACUCCUACGGGAGGCAGCAGUAGGGAAUCCUCCGCAAUGGGCGAAAGCCUGACGGAGCAACGCCGCGUGAGUGAUGAAGGUCUUCGGAUCGUAAAACUCUGUUAUUAGGGAAGAACAUAUGUGUAAGUAACUGUGCACAUCUUGACGGUACCUAAUCAGAAAGCCACGGCUAACUACGUG
rnacentral:rRNA from 1 species